rnacentral:rRNA from 1 species
UACGGAGGGGGCUAGCGUUGUUCGGAAUUACUGGGCGUAAAGGGCUCGUAGGUGGCCAACUAAGUCAGACGUGAAAUCCCUCAGCUUAACUGGGGAACUGCGUCUGAUACUGGAUGGCUUGAGUUUGGGAGAGGGAUGCGGAAUUCCAGGUGUAGCGGUGAAAUGCGUAGAUAUCUGGAGGAACACCGGUGGCGAAGGCGGGUCUCUGGACAGUUCCUGACACUGAGACACGAAGGCCAGGGGAGCAAACGGG